rnacentral:rRNA from 1 species
GACGAACGCUGGCGGCGUGCUUAACACAUGCAAGUCGAGCGGUAAGGCCCUUUCGGGGGUACACGAGCGGCGAACGGGUGAGUAACACGUGGGUGACCUGCCCUCAGCUCUGGGAUAAGCCUGGGAAACUGGGUCUAAUACCGGAUAUGACUCCAUGACGCAUGUUGUGGGGUGGAAAGCCUUGUGCGGCUGAGGAUGGGCCCGCGGCCUAUCAGUCUUGUUGGUGGGGNGAUGGCCUACCAAGGCGACGACGGGUAGCCGGCCUGAGAGGGCGACCGGCCACACUGGGACUGAGACACGGCCCAGACUCCUACGGGAGGCAGCAGUGGGGAAUCUUGCG